rnacentral:lncRNA from 1 species
GUAUGACGGGCGGCGGAGGAGAAAGAGGCAUAAUAGAAUUUGGAGUGCUGGGAUUGACGAAUGCGAUCAUACCAGCACUAACGCACCGGAUCCCAUCAGAACUCCGAAGUUAAGCGUGCUUGGGCGAGAGUAGUAGUAGGAUGGGUGACGCCUUGUGAAGUCCUCGUGUUGCAUCCCUUUUUUUUUUCCUUUAAAAUUCGGUUUAAUUUUGCCGAUUCGAUCGGCGAAUCUUUUUGUUUUUCCUCUUGGCGGAAACGAGAAAGGGGGCAAGGCGCAGGGGCGUGCGUGCGGGGUAUGACGGGCGGCGGAGGAGAUGAAGCAUAAUAGAAUUUGGAGUGCUGGGAAUGACGGAUGCGAUCAUUCCAGCACUAACGCACCGGAUCCCAUCAGAACACCGAAGUUAAGCGUGCUUGGGUGACAGUAGUAUUAGGAUGGGUGACCCCCUGGGAAGUCCCCGUGUUGCAUCCCUUCUUUUUGGUUUUUCCUUAAAAAUUCGGUUAAAUUUUGCCCGUUCGAUCGACGAAUCUUUUUGUUUUUCCUCUUGGCGGAAUGAGAAAGAGGGCAAGGCGAAGGGGCGCGCGUGCGGUGUGUGACUGGCGGCGCAGGAGAAAUAGGCAUAAUAAAAUUUGGAGUGCUGGAUAUGACGGAUAGGAUCAUACCAGCACUAACGCACCGGAUCCCAUCAGAACUCCGAAGUUAAGCAUACUUGGGGGAGAGUAAUACUAGGAUGGGUGACACCCUGGGAAGUCCUCGUGUUAUAUCCCUUCCUUUUUUGUUUCCUUUAAAAUUCAGUUUAAUUUUGCAUCUUCGAUCCGCGAAUCUUUUGUUUUUCCUCUUGGGGGAAACGAGAACGGGGGAAAAGCGAAGGGGCCCGCGUGCGGUGUGUGACUGGCGGCGGAGGACAAAGAGGCAUAAUAGAAUUUGGAGUUCUGGGAAUGACGGAUGCGAUCAUACCAGCACUAACGCACCGGAUCCCAUCAAAACUCCGAAGUUAAGC